AGCGGAGGAAAAGAAACCAACCGGGAUUGCCUCAGUAACGGCGAGUGAAGCGGCAAGAGCUCAAAUUUGAAAGCUGGCUCCUUCGGGGUCCGCAUUGUAAUUUGCAGAGGAUGCUUCGGGUGCGGCCCCUGUCUAAGUGCCCUGGAACGGGCCGUCAGAGAGGGUGAGAAUCCCGUCUGGGAUGGGGUGUCCGCGCCCGUGUGAAGCUCCUUCGACGAGUCGAGUUGUUUGGGAAUGCAGCUCUAAAUGGGUGGUAAAUUUCAUCUAAAGCUAAAUACUGGCCGGAGACCGAUAGCGCACAAGUAGAGUGAUCGAAAGAUGAAAAGCACUUUGAAAAGAGAGUUAAAAAGCACGUGAAAUUGUUGAAAGGGAAGCGCUUGCGACCAGACUCGCCUCCAGGGUUCAGCCGGCAUUCGUGCCGGUGUACUUCCCUGGGGGCGGGCCAGCGUCGGUUUGGGCGGCCGGUCAAAGGCUCCCGGAAUGUAGUGCCCUCCGGGGCACCUUAUAGCCGGGAGUGCAAUGCGGCCAGCCUGGACCGAGGAACGCGCUUCGGCACGGACGCUGGCAUAAUGGUCGUAAACGACCCGU
rnacentral:rRNA from 1 species